rnacentral:lncRNA from 1 species
GGCUAGUGCAUGCUUGGGCAUCCUCCCCAAAGUAAAGGGUGUCUUACUGCACCUUGUGCCACCUAUCACUAAAAGAAAAGUAUAUUAGAAGAUCUCUUCAGUUAUUGGAGAUAUCCCACACUUGAAAAUAUUGCUCUAAUGUGUUUAUUUGGUGACAGAAAAGACAACUGAUAUGAUUUGGCUGUGUCUGCACCCAAAUCUCAUCUUAAAUUGUAUUUCCCAUAAUCCCCAAAUGUCAUGGGAGAACCCCAGUAGGAGGUAAUUGAAUCAUGGGGGCAGUUACCCCCAGGCUGUUUUAUGAUAGUGAAUGAGUUUUCAUGAGAUAUGAUGGUUUUAUAAGUAGCUUUUCCCGCUUUGCUCAGCACUUCUCUCUCCUGCUGCCAUGUGAAGAAGGAUGUGUUUGCUUCACCUUCCACCAUGAUUGCGAGUUUCCUGAGGCCUCCUCAGCCACACGGAAAUCAAUCAUUGUUGAAACUUCUGUCCUCAAGUUUAAUAUGAGAGAGUAUAAAACUAGGGUUCUACACAAUGAGCUCCCGGUCUGCAGAGCUUCUGGGUGUGAUUUGCUGAAAAAGGUUUCAGUUUAGAGAUGAAGAAGCAGCAGCCAGAGGAAGAAAGUAAAAGCAGCUAUAUAGGGAAAGUUACAGCUUUUGUGAUAUUGCCUGAAGCUUCUGACCAAAUACUAGAAGAGCUCUUAAAACAAAUCGUGUUACAAGAAAAGUGCCUGUUUUAGAAAACUGAUCAGAUAAUCCCUUUACCAAAAGGAAAACGUACAAUAAUGGAAUCCACAGGCACUGCAGCCAAAGGCAGGGUCUUCAGCCCUAUUGAGGAGAGUUGCUUUGAAGUGCAGUGUUGCUAUGCAUGUGGAAUUGAUCAAGCCCUUUAUUUUCCUAUGGGUCUCUAUCAUGUUUUUAUAUCAUGUAACAUGAUUUCUUAGCCAUCUCUCUCUCUCUCUCUGUCACGCACACCCAUAUAAAGGUGUUUAUGCAGGCACUCUUUAUGCUCAUUAUUUCUAUGUUUUUUCCUAGUCAUAUUAUCUUAGAUUAUAAUUGACUCUUCAGAGUACAGUGGGGACCAGGUGAGUGGAGGUUUGUGUGGCCUUGGACUAUAAUUGACUCUUUAGGGGGAAAAAUAGAUACAUUUUCUGAAAUCCAUAAGUUCUGGAAUUAUGACUUGCUCACUAACUUGUUUGAAAAAGCCUAAGAUAAUAAAUGUUAACUGAAUUAAUGGAUUAAUGUAUCCUUUUAGAUAAGGUAAUAUGCAAUGUCAAAUCUCUAAGCAAUUUAACUGAGGACAGCAUGAUUCAAUUUAAAUUUUAAAUUUUAUCAUAUUUUAAAUCCAGUUGGUGAAGUGGAUUAAAGAUAGGUGGUAGUGAAAGCAGAAACACAGUUACAAAAACAAUGGUUCAGAUGGGAGAAACAAGGACCUUGAGGAUAAAAAUCAUUUUUACAUAUGAAAUUCAUUAUUAUUUUUGAAAAGGUAAUGUAGAUUACAUUUUCUAAUAUAAUAUAUUUAAAUGUAUCUUCAUGAAUACCACAAAAUAUUUCAUGGUAGAUAAUUAUAUCAUCAUUUUCCAGUAGUUGACUCAAGGUCUCACAGCUGGACCCGUGAUCAAAUUCCAACUUUGCCACUUUCUGUUUCUGUUUCAUGAAACCCUUGCUCUGUCGAUGAUGUUGAAGUACCUACAGUGAUUACAUAGAAACGAAUAUUGAAACUGAGGCAGGAAACUUGGGCAAGUGCUAGGUUCCUGCUGAUGUGACAAUCCUCUUUUUUUUUAUUUUUGAGACGGAGUCUAUCCAGCCAACAAUCCUCUUUUUAAUUCAUUUGUACUAUAUAAAUCUACAAAACUCUAUAAAUAAUAUAAUCAAAAUUCUGU